AGUGAACGCUGGCGGUAGGCCUAACACAUGCAAGUCGAACGGCAGCACAGUAAGAGCUUGCUCUUACGGGUGGCGAGUGGCGGACGGGUGAGGAAUAUAUCGGAAUCUACUUUUUCGUGGGGGAUAACGUAGGGAAACUUACGCUAAUACCGCAUACGACCUACGGGUGAAAGCAGGGGAUCUUCGGACCUUGCGCGAUUGAAUGAGACGAUGUCGGAUUAGCUAGUUGGCGGGGUAAAGGCCCACCAAGGCAACGAUCCGUAGCUGGUCUGAGAGGAUGAUCAGCCACACUGGAACUGAGACACGGUCCAGACUCCUACGGGAGGCAGCAGUGGGGAAUAUUGGACAAUGGGCGCAAGCCUGAUCCAGCCAUACCGCGUGGGUGAAGAAGGCCUUCGGGUUGUAAAGCCCUUUUGUUGGGAAAGAAAAGCAGCAGGUUAAUACCCCGCUGUUCUGACGGUACCCAAAGAAUAAGCACCGGCUAACUUCGUG
rnacentral:rRNA from 1 species